rnacentral:rRNA from 1 species
ACUCCUACGGGAGGCAGCAGUAGGGAAUCUUCCACAAUGGACGCAAGUCUGAUGGAGCAACGCCGCGUGAGUGAAGAAGGUUUUCGGAUCGUAAAGCUCUGUUGUUGGUGAAGAAGGAUAGAGGUAGUGACUGGCCUUUAUUUGACGGUAAUCAACCAGAAAGUCACGGCUAACUACGUGCCAGCAGCCGCGGUAAUAC